ACAUGCCUACAACAUAGCGCUAAUGCAUCGGAUCCCAUUAUAACUCCACAUUUAAGCGCGCUUAGGCUAGAGUAGUAUUGGGAUGGGUGACCGCUAGGAAGUCCUAUUAUUUUACAUGCC
rnacentral:rRNA from 1 species